rnacentral:rRNA from 1 species
UACAGAGGGUGCGAGCGUUAAUCGGAAUUACUGGGCGUAAAGCGCGCGUAGGCGGCUUUGCAAGUCGGGUGUGAAAUCCCCAGGCUUAACCUGGGAACUGCAUUCGAGACUGCAUUGCUAGAGUAUGGGAGAGGGAAGUGGAAUUUCCGGUGUAGCGGUGAAAUGCGCAGAUAUCAGGAAGAACACCCGUGGCUAAGGCGGUUCUCUAGUACGGUACUGACGCUGAGACGCGAAAGCGUGGGGAGCGAACAGG